AGUGAACGCUGGCGGUAUGCCUAACACAUGCAAGUCGAACGGCAGCACAGUAAGAGCUUGCUCUUACGGGUGGCGAGUGGCGGACGGGUGAGGAAUACAUCGGAAUCUACUUUUUCGUGGGGGAUAACGUAGGGAAACUUACGCUAAUACCGCAUACGACCUACGGGUGAAAGCAGGGGAGCUUCGGACCUUGCGCGAUUGAAUGAGCCGAUGUCGGAUUAGCUAGUUGGCGGGGUAAAGGCCCACCAAGGCGACGAUCCGUAGCUGGUCGGAGAGGAGGGUCAGCAACACGGGACUUGAGAAACGGUCAAGACUCCUACGGGAGGAAGCAGUGGGGAAUAUUGGAAAAGGGGCGAAAGCCUGAGCCAGCCAUACCGCGUGGGUGAAGAAGGCCUCCGGGUUGUAAAGCCCUUUUGUUGGGAAAGAAAAGCAGCAGGUUAAUACCCCGCUGUUCUGACGGUACCAAAAGAAUAAGCACCGGCUAACUUCGU
rnacentral:rRNA from 1 species